GAAGAAUGACAUCUUCAAUCUGCAACACUAACAACCAACAACAAAUCCUUGUUUAAACUUACUGGUGAAAACCUUGACAUGGCUUGACAGUUGAAUUCUUUGGAGGAUAUUAAUGACAAAAAGAUCGUUACUUGUGAUUUUUGUGAAAAGGUUUCAAACGGAGAUAUUACGAGAGCAAAAUUGCAUCAGAUGGAGAUAAGGGGAGAAGGUAGCUCCUUGUAGGAAAACACCGGUUGAUGUAAUACUCAAACUCAAGAAGGCUAUGGAGAAAAAGCAAAGUACUAAUGUUUCCUAUAUGGCUGAGAUUAUGAAGGUUGGACGUUCCGUGCCGCUAUCCGAGACCGACAUCAUAGGAAACAUUGAACGCAGCUUUUAACGAUUGGACCGAGUUAAUGAGUGCAAAGACAGGUAGCAUAUAAAGCUAAGGCAGAUCUAUAUAAAUCACAAACUUAUCAAGCUACUAGUUCAAAUAUAGAUUCUUAUUAAGUUUAUGAAUGCAUGGAAUUACUCGACUCCAUGGAAGAUAUUCCAAGUAAAAUAUACAAUAAUGCAUUGGAAAAGUUUAUAGAUAAAGAUUGGAGAGUCAUGUUCAUUAAGAUAUCUUCAAUUAGGGAGAAAGGAAUCGCUAGCUUCUCUUGAGUAGUAUUCAAUAGUUUAUGUUAGAUUUGUUGACAUUAUUGCAUAUAUUUGGGAGCUAGUAAGAUGGAGAAAACUUGAUUAUGGUUGAAGAAGGUUUAAUGGUAGAUCGACAAAGUAUUAAAAUUGAUAUUAGUCAAGCCACUUAAAUGAUCCAAGUUUGAAAAACUAAUGCAAAACAAAUUAAGGAAGGCAUCGUAUUCCUUUUAUAUGUUACAAAUUUAAGAAGCACACCAAGCAAAAGUAUUCAAAGGAAGGAAAAUAUCAACUAAUUAGACAGCACAUGAAAAAUAUAGACAAUUUUUUUAUCAAUACCAAACCUCCAAACCUAUACUAUAGUCGACCUUAUCAAUAUUUUAAUUAGUGACCAAAUUAUCUCAGCUAAGCAACUCAAAA